rnacentral:rRNA from 1 species
CUACGUGCCAGCAGCCGCGGUAAUACGGAAGGUCCGGGCGUUAUCCGGAUUUAUUGGGUUUAAAGGGAGCGUAGGCUGGAGAUUAAGUGUGUUGUGAAAUGUAGACGCUCAACGUCUGACUUGCAGCGCAUACUGGUUUCCUUGAGUACGCACAACGUUGGCGGAAUUCGUCGUGUAGCGGUGAAAUGCUUAGAUAUGACGAAGAACUCCGAUUGCGAAGGCAGCUGACGGGAGCGCAACUGACGCUGAAGCUCGAAGGUGCGGGUAUCGAACAGGAUUAGAUACCCUGGUAGUCCGCACAGUAAACGAUGGAUGCCCGCUGUUGGUACCUAGUAUCAGCGGCUAAGCGAAAGCAUUAAGCAUCCCACCUGGGGAGUACGCCGGCAACGGUGAAACUCAAAGGAAUUGACGGGGGCCCGCACAAGCGGAGGAACAUGUGGUUUAAUUCGAUGAUACGCGAGGAACCUUACCCGGGCUUGAAUUGCAGAGGAAGGAUUUAGAGAUAA